rnacentral:rRNA from 1 species
CUUGCUAAGUUUGAUGGCGACCGGCGCACGGGUGAGUAACACGUAUCCAACCUGCCGAUGACUCGGGGAUAGCCUUUCGAAAGAAAGAUUAAUACCCGAUGGCAUAGUUCUUCCGCAUGGUAGAACUAUUAAAGAAUUUCGGUCAUCGAUGGGGAUGCGUUCCAUUAGGUUGUUGGCGGGGUAACGGCCCACCAAGCCUUCGAUGGAUAGGGGUUCUGAGAGGAAGGUCCCCCACAUUGGAACUGAGACACGGUCCAAACUCCUACGGGAGGAAGCAUG